GCUAGUGUGAUGUAAUGGUCUGAAUGUUGGACUACUAUUCUGAAGACCACAGUUCGAUUCCCUGCUCAGCC